AUGCAGAUGGUUUCUUGCGGCCGCACCGCCGUGAACAUCAAUGGGGAGAUCGGCCCUUACUUGCCCACCUUCUGUGGGGUAAGGCAAGGCGAUCCCUUCUCGCCAUUCUUGUUCAAUAUGCUUGUAGACGCGCUUGCCGCCAUCUUGGAUAAGGCUAAAGCUGCUGGCCAUAUCCAUGGGAUCAAUCCCCACCUGGCUAGGGGCUCCGGGAUCUCCCUUCUCCAGUAUGCCGAUGACACCAUCAUUAUGGUCGAUGGCUCGGAGUCGGAUAUCUCCAAUCUCAAGUUCCCUCUCCUCUGCUUCCAACAAAUGUCCGGCCUUAAGAUUAACUUCGACAAGAGUGAUGUGAUGGUGUUGGGCUACUCUCCGGUCGAGUCCCUUGCCAUUGCCAACCGUCUUAACUACCGCCUCGGUUCCUUUCCCACGACCUACUUGGGAAUGCCCAUAAGUGACUCUCGGCUCAUAGUUGUGGACUUGCGCCCAACUGUGACCAAGCUUCAAACCCGUAUCGAGCCUUGGCAGGGUAGAUGGUUGUCCAAGGCUGCUCAGACCAUUCUCAUUAAUUCAUCCCUAUCCAGUCUCCUCAUGUUCCUCAUGAGCUUUUACAGCCUGCACGAGACUCUGCACCAUGAGAUUGCCCAAGUCCAGUCUCGCUUUUAUUGGGCAGGCGACAAUAAUAAGAAGAAAUAA
rnacentral:rRNA from 1 species